CUCCAACAUCUCACUGAGACAAACAGAUGUUUAUUGCAACCCUGAACUAGCUCACCGGAUGAAUCUAUUCAAGGGGCUUGAUGAUUAGGGGCAAGUUGAAUCAGGUGUGCUAGCUCUGGAAUACAUCCCAUACAUGGGGAUCACAGAGGUGAGGUUUGAGAACCACUAAGCUGUUUUCGGAGCUGAUCUGAUUAAAUACAUCUAAUUAGUUGUCUCAGUCAAGCUGUUAAAACAUUGGAAAAGUGAUGGUAGCUUCAAUAUAUUCUUAAGUUUUAAGGUACUUUCAUCUGAGAAUAUUUACAGUGAACCUAGAAUAACAUGACCAAAAUUGCAUGGUAUUUAGUAAGAGUACAAGCUGGAUGAUACACAAGGGAAAUCAUGCAGGUGGAAGCAAGUGUCUAGUGAAGGGCUAUGGCACUGGAUGGUUGUGCUAAUCGGAAAGCUGUAGGAGUUUUGUUUGGUGUGAUUUGGAAAAUCCAGGUUUUCCCCCCAGUUUCCAAUUUGUGAUCAAGGCCUCGCUCCAGCGCAUGCAGCUCUCUGCAGAUGUCACGAUGCGUUCAUGUGUCCUCUGAAGCACAUCCGAUACCGCUCUGCAGAGACCACUCCGGUUCUUAUUACGCUCAGCCAGGACGUUUAGACAGGGAUUCUUACGCGCCGGAGGGAACACACUCUCCUGGCCUUCUACCUCCACUGAACUCGCAGAUAUCCAAGCUGCCACAAGGAGUAGCCAGAGAGUGAGGAGGCACGGAAGAAACGUUUGAUUACUAGCCCUCUCAACCCGACGGUGCUGGGUGAUUACAGGCUCGUCUGCAGGACCCCUGGGCUAAUUCUCAAGCAGGCUUCAAACCUGGAAGAGCAUUGCUGCUGCAAACUGCAAGGCAGUGACUUUUCUGCUGCACCUGGCUUCACCUGGUUGACCUUAGUGCUGUCUUCAGUACCACUGAUCGCCACAUUCUUUUGGAAGAGGUCCCUGACUCAAAUGUGUCUGUUUUCAUCAGAUGUGCUGCUUUUUUUAAAUGUAAUUUCUGUACAUUUUCAUUGUAAUGCCGAUGACCAUCAACUGUAUAUUUCAAUGAAUCAUGGCAAAGGCCCUUAACUUCCAUGUUUCAGACAAGGGAGUGGAUUUUCUUUAGAACUUUUCUUAUAAACUUGGGUUAAAGAGAAAAUGUAUGCUAGGUCUUGGUCACGGCACAAAGAGAUCUGCUGACAAUGACUUUCAAGGGUUGUCCAGUCUCCAUGUCAACCCAAACAUUACGGGACCUUUUCUCUAGAUCCUGAUCUCUCUUGACAAACAUAUAAACAAAUAUUUCAUUGCAUUUUUACACCCAACCGGACAUGUUUAAUCACAGAAACAUGCAAAAUAGCUCACCCAUAUAAAAAAAACCAACAUUUUAAAUGUUUUGACCAAUGAGAUCAUAUUAUUCCAGUGCUAACCUCUCUACACUGGCUGCCUCUUAAGGCUUGGGCUGAUUUAACAGGUUUAGUGUAAACCUACAAAGCUGAACACGGACUGCCUCCAUAUUAUCUUUCUAAACUGGUCCUGCCGUACGUACCUAUAUGUACGGCAUGGUCCAAAGACAAAGGCCUCAUUACUGACUCUGGAACUGUUUAACUGGCAGGGCCCUCUCAGUUAGCAGAGCUACAUUUAUCUGGAAUGAUCUGCCAAUUCAUGUUAGAGGCAGACUCGGUUUGAAGUCGUUAGUGUAGCAGGAUUAAGUGUAGUCUGGCCCAGGGGCGUGAAUCUGAACACCAAGGCAAUGGUUUGGUUUGACAAACCACCUUGCUGUCUCUGCGUGACGGGCUCUCCUUUCUCCACCGGGAUACUGUGCUGCUCACCCUCUUGUGUGGGACCGGGUCUCAUGUACUCACAGCAAAAAGAGCACCCUACCAGCACGGCUCCUUGCUAGUUUGUUACUUUUCAAGGGUAUUUUUGAUAUAAGCCCUUUUGUGACUGAUUAGAAAAGGGCUUUUUCUUAAAAAAUAAAUAAAAAUACACUUGAUUGAGUGAAACUUCACUUUUCAUAGAGGCGUAUUAUAAAAUACACUUCAGUCAACUUCAGUAUUCAAGCCAAUGUAACGGUGUAGGUUGCCCUCCUGCUCAGAGCCGCGACACAAGAUGUGUACUAUCUUCCUAGUCAGUUUAAUGGUGUUGGUGAUAUGUGUCUGGGAAAUGGCACGCGACUUUAACACCGUGUGUUGUGGACUUAACCAACCUGUUUAUUACCGAGAGCUAGAGAAAGUCGUCGCCCCCGUGUCCCUACGGUAACCCAACCCCCCCCCCCCCCCUCGGCUGGUGAAAUGUGCUUACUGCUUUGAACUGUCUCCCCCCUCUGCCCUUCUCAUCCAGGACGAUAUCCUGGGUCCAGGAGUAAAAGACCGGUGAUAAUGUGCAUUCAUUUAACUAUUCGUUAUGGGGCACAGCUAAAAGGGAUGUUGAUGGCUCUGUAAAUCAUUGUGAGCAGCGACGGGGCUGUGGUUAAACGUUUAGGGUGAGUAAUGGGUGAAUAGUUUGACAGAAGUUAUGAAUUUUUUUUAAAUGUUGCGUGUAGCAUGACUCUCUGUAGGAUAUAAUAAUUUUUUACUCCAGUUAUUGUUCGUGAAGAGGUCCAACAGCAAUAUUAGCUGGUUGAUGUAGAUUUUAUGGCUUUUGAUAUUUUCAUUUUACGGGCUCUCUGCUGGUUGGGUUGGGUGCCAUCUUGUGUGACGAAACAUUUCCUAAAGCACAUCACACUGGCUCCCCUUCUAUGGAGUUUCGGACAACCUCACCGCUUUGUUUCCUGGCUAUAGUGCUGUUUUCUAGCCCGCACUGUGACAAACACACAGACACAAGUUGACAAGAGAACACAGACUGAUCUAGGACCAGGCUAUCCUGGCCUUGUCUGGCUCCUUCACAAGGCUGGGUGACACAUUGUCAACCCCCAGAUUAUUCAUAGACUAUCAACAUACCGCAGAUUAACAUUUCUCUCCGCGAAGCACACGGUUCCUCUCCAUUGCUCCUCAUGCCUUCACUGACACUUGACUCCCCUCUCCCCCUCUUGCCUCCUUCCCUCCUCCCUUUCUUAACACAGUUGUCCUUACAUAUUAUGGUCCGGGUGCGAUUAACUGCGGGAAUCUGUCGCACUCGUUUCAUUUUGCCACCGGGGUGAGAGAGAGACGAGGGGGGGAGGCGAGGGGCGAGGAGAGGGAUGGAGCGAAAAAGGCUGGAGGUGAGGGAAAGAGGAGGAAAAAAGGGUUUUGAAAGAGAAGAUAUGUUUGUGGUCUCUUCUCCACAAGUCCCACUGCGCCUCUAUUCUGUAGGGAGGUAGUACUUGUUUUGCAUCCAUCUCUCUUCGUUGACUCUUGGAAGUGUGGCGAUA
ensembl:lncRNA